CACGGGGGGAGCAAGCGUUGUUCGGAAUCACUGGGCGUAAAGGGCGUGCAGGCGGUCGAGUAAGUGGAAUGUGAAAUGCCCCGGCUCACCCGGGGACCUGCAUUCCAAACUGCUUGGCUCGAGUAUGGGAGAGGAUGAGGGAAUUCCUGGUGUAGCGGUGAAAUGCGUAGAUAUCAGGAGGAACACCUGCGGCGAAGGCGGGUUGCUGGGCCGACACUGACGCUGAAGCGCGAAAGCUAGGGGAGCGAACGGG
rnacentral:rRNA from 1 species